rnacentral:misc_RNA from 1 species
AAACUACAGUAUCCACCAUCUUAGAUAAACAAUAGAAAGUAGGUUUACAUAGUCCUAAGUCCAUUACACUCAGAGCCUAACUAAAACUCUGAAGCCCAGACUGAAAACUGCAGUCCAACCCACACUUGAAAUCCUAACCAAUUCGGGUUAAUAGACAGCAAAACUAAGAAGAAAGAGCACUGCUGGUGCACUAUGAUCGCCGCAGAGACGUCAGCCACAACACAGAGGAAACUCCACCAACACAGUGGGUAUCAGACCAAACAUUUCCAUCCCCAAAUCAAGCAGAGAAUCCCAAUGCAAUGUCAACUCAAGGGCACAUGCAAGCUAGAAAACCAGACUCAAAGCCGAAACUCGAAGGACAAGGACCAUGAAUGUCGGCAAACCAAGGUAGGCG